CAUCAUACUGGACAGCAUUGGACGUGAUUGGAUCGUUCUCUAAUACUGUCUGGUGAUGAUGUU
rnacentral:pre_miRNA from 1 species